UGCAAGUCGAACGAGGCGCCGGCUUCGGCCGGAACCCAGUGGCGGACGGGUGAGUAACGCGUAGGAAUCUACCUAGUGGUGGGGAAUAACUCGAGGAAACUCGAGCUAAUACCGCAUACGACCUAAGGGUGAAAGCGGGGGCUCUUCGGACCUCGCGCUAUUAGCAGAGCCUGCGUUGGAUUAGCUUGUUGGUGGGGUAAUGGCCUACCAAGGCGACGAUCCAUAGCUGGUUUGAGGGGAUGAUCAGUCACACUGGAACUGAGACACGGUCCAGACUUCUACGGAAGGCAGCAGUAAAGAAUAUUGCGCAGUGGGCGAAAGCCUGACGCAGCCAUGCCGCGUGUGUGAAGAAGGCCUUUGGGUUGUAAAGCACUUUCAGUAGUGAGGAAAAGCGAACUGUUAAUACCAGUUCGUCAUGACAUUAGCUACAGAAGAAGCACCGGCUAACUCCGUGCCAGCAGCCGCGGUAAUACGGAGGGUGCGAACGUUAAUCGGAAUUACUGGGCGUAAAGCGCGCGUAGGCGGUAUGUUAAGUGGGAUGUGAAAGCCCCGGGCUCAACCUGGGAACUGCAUCUCAAACUGACAAACUAGAGUGUAGUAGAGGGAGGUGGAAUUUCCUGUGGAGCGGUGGAAUGCGUAGAUAUGGGAAGGAACACCAGUGGCGAAGGCGACCUCCUGGACUAACACUGACGCUGAGGUGCGAAAGCGUGGGGAGCAAACAGCGAUUAGAUACCCUGGUAUUCCACGCUGUAAACGAUGAGAACUAGCCGUCGGGCUUUCG
rnacentral:rRNA from 1 species